rnacentral:rRNA from 1 species
AUUGAACGCUGGCGGCAGGCCUAACACAUGCAAGUCGAACGAGUGGCGGACGGGUGAGUAAUGUCUGGGAAACUGCCUGAUGGAGGGGGAUAACUACUGGAAACGGUAGCUAAUACCGCAUACCAUCAGAUGUGCCCAGAUGGGAUUAGCUUGGUGGUGGGGUAACGGCUCACCAAGGCGACGAUCCCUAGCUGGUCUGAGAGGAUGACCAGCCACACGGGAACUGAGACACGGUCCAGAGUCCUACGGGAGGCAGCGGUGGGAAAUAUUGCACAAUGGGGAAAAGCAGGAGGCAGCCAUGCCGCGUGUAUGAAGAAGGCCUUGGGGUUGUAAAGUACUUUCAGCGGGGAGGCGUUACCCGCAGAAGAAGCACCGGCUAACUCCGUGCCAGCAGCCGCGGUAAUUC